CAAACAGGAACAGCUUUCACAAGAGCUAGUGAAGCUAAGGGAGUAUACAGAGUAUAGCAAUCCCUGUAGUGAUUAUAGCUGUCCCCUCCAAACACGAGACGAGGCUGUGAGUUGAGGGUCAAGUAGAACUGCAGGUUUAUUGCACAGGUUGGAUUUAUAUACAGUGUUUCAGGUCAGAGGAACACCCCCUGGACCUGGUGGGGCACAGGAACACAAAGUACACAAACCAAUAGGAACAAUGGUACAAGGAAUGACACUCCCACACACAGAAC